rnacentral:rRNA from 1 species
CCUACGGGAGGCAGCAGUGGGGAAUCUUGCGCAAUGGGCGAAAGCCUGACGCAGCAACGCCGCGUGCGGGAUGAAGGCCUUCGGGUUGUAAACCGCUUUCAGCAGGGAAGAAAUUGACGGUACCUGCAGAAGAAGCCCCGGCCAACUACGUGCCAGCAGCCGCGGUAACACGUAGGGGGCGAGCGUUGUCCGGAUUUAUUGGGCGUAAAGAGCUCGUAGGCGGUUCGGUAAGUCGGGUGUGAAACCUCCAGGCUCAACCUGGAGACGCCACCUGAAACUGCUGUGACUAGAGUCCGGUAGGGGAGUGUGGAACUCCUGGUGUAGCGGUGAAAUGCGCAGAUAUCAGGAAGAACACCAGCGGCGAAGGCGGCACUCUGGGCCGGUACUGACGCUGAGGAGCGAAAGCGUGGGUAGCAAACAGGAUUAGAUACCCUGGUAGUCCACGCCGUAAACGUUGGGCACUAGGUGUGGGUCUCAACCAACGAGAUCCGUGCCGCAGCUAACGCAUUAAGUGCCCCGCCUGGGGAGUACGGCCGCAAGGCUAAAACUUAAGGAAUUGACGGCUGAGACGNGCGAGACGACGACGAGGGAGAGG